CCAAAGGCCCUUUUUAGGGCCAACCAAAGGGUCCUCGGAGGAGCUG
rfam:Pteropus alecto contig87826, whole genome shotgun sequence.